GUGAGGAAUUUUCCACAAUGGGCGAAAGCCUGACGGAGCAAUGCCGCGUGAAGGAUGAAGGCCUAUGGGUUGUAAACUUCUUUUCUCAGAAAAGAAUUAUGACGGUAUCUGAGGAAUAAGCAUCGGCUAACUCUGUGCCAGCAGCCGCGGUAAGACAGAGGAUGCAAGCGUUAUCCGGAAUGAUUGGGCGUAAAGCGUCUGUAGGUUGUUUAAAAAGUAUUCUGUCAAAGAUUAGGGCUUAACCCUAGAUAGGCAGAAUAAACUUUUAAGCUAGAGUUUGGUAGAGGCAGAGGGAAUUCCCGGUGGAGCGGUGAAAUGCGUAGAUAUCGGGAGGAACACCAAAGGCGAAGGCACUCUGCUGGGCCAAUACUAACACUGAGAGACGAAAGCGAGGGGAGCAAAUGGGAUUAGAAACCCGGGUAGUCC
rnacentral:rRNA from 1 species